rnacentral:snRNA from 1 species
AUCCCUUUGGGGAUAUCCGAUAAAAUUAGAACCAUAUAAAGAAGAAGAAUUACACUGGGCUUGUUGUUGCUAUAAAGAAGAGGAAUAUAGUUUCUCCGCAAGGAUGACGAGCAAAUCUAAAAAUGAUCCACAUUUUUUU